AUCUCAAGGACACUUCGGAGGUUGCAGCUGCUCCCCCACGAAGGGCCUGCCUCCCUGUGUCUCACCUGAGAAAUGCGAGAGGACCGUCACUUUCCUCCUCCUGCAGCUGCAGGGAGAGGACGCCCCUCCCGGUGCGGGGCCGUGGGGGCGGGGACGGCGGGCAGGAGCCCGAGCUGGGGCGUGGGCGUCCGUGCGACUGCUGAGUCGCACCCAGGCGUUGUGAUUUUAGAAAACUUCAGAGUUCUGAGACAAAAGGCAGAACCGUCCGUCAAGAGCCGUGGUCCUUCAGAAGGCAACUUUACACCACAGCCGUGGGAUUCCGUGGGGAGGUCGCAGUGUGGACAGAAGACCCAGCAGUAGCACCAAAGGCUUCCGGACUCCUGAGAGGCCCUGGAGGGUGCAGCCUUCGGGAGGAGGCUGAGGCAAGGGAAGGAAUACUUCGACCCGCGGACACAGCUGUGAUUCUAAGGGAUUGGAAAGUCAAGUUUCCACAUGCCAUCGGAUGAGCAGAUACAAAGAGAGUUUACGAUGUUGAUGGCGUGAUUGUGCCUGGCUUAUAAGGGGAGAUGAGAUUGUUGCCUUUGGAAAAUACAGAAAUGAACCACCCAGAUCCCUCUGAAGGAAGGACUUGCCACCCAGCUACAGGCAGUGCGGUCAGCAGACAGCUUCCAGCUCUCAGGGCCUUCUCAGCUGCAGAGAGCUGCCUCCGCCAGGCCACACCCUUCCUGGGGUAGCCGGCGUCUGAGCGAAGAUGACAGAGGAGAUGGCGAAGGGUAAUGUUCCCUCCAGAGCUCCCCAGGCUGGCCGAGGCUCGGCCAGGCUUGUCCCGCAGCUUGAGUCCUCUGCUCAGUUCUGCUUCUGCUCCCUUAACAUCACAGGUGUUGACCCGUAACAAACACUUUGCACCUGAAACUCCAUCUCAGCGUUGCUUCCAGAAAACCCAACCAGCAGCCUGGCUCACAAUGAAGGGGAGAAGGAACACGGAUGGGACUCCAGGGAACCACUAGGUUGCCUCCUCCGCUGCCACUGCCACUACCACUGCCAAUGGUAAAAGUGAGUGGAAUAGCACAGCAACUCAAUAAAAACUGGAUCACAGAAAGGCUCACAUCCUGCAGAAAUUCAAGUUUGAUUCACUUCAUCAGGUGAAAAAUCCCAACCAACUGAGAUGCUGGUGGAACGUCAAGCUAACAUGAACCCACACAUCUGAGGCACAGGAAUUGUGUCCUUCAGUUUGGUGAAUUCUUCCAUCUGGAUGCUGUGGAAAGAAGAAUGUGCUUCCAUGAGAACCUGAUGAAAAGCAUUUUCCUCCUUCGAAUCAGAUUGAUGUUAGCUCUUUUCCAUUCUUACUGUGGAGUCUCAGAGUUUCUCUUUGGAGUUUCUCUCGGUUGAAGAACGUGGAUAAAGAGCGGGAAACCCAUCUUGGAGAGAGUAGGGGUAAAGAGUAUUUUUGUAUUUAUUCUUGAGAUUCUUGGCAAAAUGUUGUUUGGUCUGUAUAUAACAUAUUCAUUACAG
rnacentral:lncRNA from 1 species